rnacentral:lncRNA from 1 species
AAUCACUACGGGCUACAAGCUGUCUUCUCUGGGCCACAUUCAGCCCGUGGGCCGUGUGUUGUGCACCCCUGCACGGGUAACAGGUCAUCAUUCUUUUCCCACACAUCACAGUGAACCAGAUUGAGGCCAAUCUACCUGAUGCGUCCAGAGGACGUGGAAGGAGACGGGGGUUCGUAGAUUACAUCAUCCUAAUGGACUGGUUCAGCUCUGUUACUGCCUCAAACUGGGAAGCACCUUACAAAGCCUCAAAGAUGCUCUCUACAAGGUAACAUAACAUAGGAUGUGUGUUCCCUGCAAUGCUUCCUCAGUCAGUGUGUUUCCAUUGAGGUAAUGUGUGUUUCCAUAGAGGUAAUGUGUGUUUCCAUCGAGGUAAUGUGUGUUUCCAGAGGUUAUGUGUUUCCUAAGUCAGUGUGUUUCAUUGAGGUAAUGUGUGUUUCAUUGAGGUAAUGUGUGUUUCCAUUGAGGUAAUGUUUGUGUUUCCUAAGUCCGUGUGUUUUCAUUGAGGUAAUGUGUGUUUUCAUUGAGGUAAGUGUGCUUCCAUUGAGUAAUGUGUGUUUCCAUUGGGUAAUGUGUGUUCCAUUGAGGUAGUGUGUUCCAUUGAGGU